AACGAACGCUGGCGGCAGGCUUAACACAUGCAAGUCGAGCGCCCCGCAAGGGGAGCGGCAGACGGGUGAGUAACACGUGGGGAUCUGCCCAAUGGUACGGAAUAGCUCCGGGAAACUGGAAAUAAUACCGUAUGUGCCCGCAAGGGGAAAGAUUUAUCGCCAUUGGAUGAACCCGCGUCGGAUUAGCUAGUUGGUGAGGUAAAGGCUCACCAAGGCGACGAUCCGUAGCUGGUCUGAGAGGAUGAUCAGCCACACUGGGACUGAGACACGGCCCAGACUCCUACGGGAGGCAGCAGUGGGGAAUAUUGGAAAAUGGGCGCAAGCCUGAUCCAGCCAUGCCGCGUGAGUGAUGAAGGCCUUAGGGUUGUAAAGCUCUUUCGCCGACGAAGAUAAUGACGGUAGUCGGAGAAGAAGCCCCGGCUAACUUCGUGCCAGCAGCCGCAGUAAUAC
rnacentral:rRNA from 1 species